CUACCCAUGAGCAGGAUGAAGCGAAAGUAAAAUUUCGUGGAGGUCCGAACCCACGAGCGUUGAAAAGCUCGGGGAUGACUUGUGGGUAGCGGUGAAAUUCCAAUCGAGCCCGGAGAUAGCUGGUUCUCCCCGAAAUAGCUUUAGGGCUAGCCUCAAGGUGAGAGAUACGGAGGUAGAGCACUGAAUGUCCUAGGGGGUAUUGCACCUACCGAAGACUAUCAAACUCCGAAUGCCGUCAUCUUAUACUUGGGAGUCAGACUGUGGGUGAUAAGAUUCAUAGUCGAAAGGGCAACAGCCCAGAUCGUCAGCUAAGGUCCCUAAAUGUAAGUUAAGUGGUAAAGGAUGUGGGAUUGCACAGACAACCAGGAUGUUGGCUUAGAAGCAGCCACUCAUUCAAAGAGUGCGUAAUAGCUCACUGGUCGAGUGAUCCUGCGCCGAAGAUUGCCGGGGCUAAAACUUACUACCGAAGCUACGGCAUCAGUAAUGAUGGGUAGGGGAGCUUCCCAUACGGGUUGAAGCAUGACCGUAAGGACAUGUGGACAGUAUGGGAGUGAGAAUGUUGGCAUGAGUA
rnacentral:rRNA from 1 species